GUCAGCUCGUGUCGUGAGAUGUUGGGUUAAGUCCCGCAACGAGCGCAACCCCUAUCUUUAGUUGCCAUCAUUGAGUUGGGCACUCUAAAGAGACUGCCGGUGUCAAACCGGAGGAAGGUGGGGAUGACGUCAAGUCCUCAUGGCCUUUAUGACCAGGGCUACACACGUACUACAAUGGCCGGUACAAAGGGCAGCGACACAGCGAUGUGAAGCGAAUCCCGAAAAGCCGGUCUCAGUCCGGAUUGGAGUCUGCAACUCGACUCCAUGAAGUUGGAAUCGCUAGUAAUCGCGGAUCAGCACGCCGCGGUGAAUACGUUCCCGGGCCUU
rnacentral:rRNA from 1 species